rnacentral:rRNA from 1 species
CACAUGCAAGUCGAACGGAUCCUUCGGGAUUAGUGGCAGACGGGUGAGUAACGCGUGGGAAGCUACCUUGUGGUAGGGAACAACAGUUGGAAACGACUGCUAAUACCCUAUGAGCCCUAUGGGGGAAAGAUUUAUCGCCAUGAGAUGUGCCCGCGUUAGAUUAGCUAGUUGGUAAGGUAAUGGCUUACCAAGGCGACGAUCUAUAGCUGGUCUGAGAGGAUGAUCAGCCACACUGGGACUGAGACACGGCCCAGACUCCUACGGGAGGCAGCAGUGGGGAAUAUUGGACAAUGGGGGCAACCCUGAUCCAGCCAAGGCCGCGUGAGUGAUGACGGCCUUAGGGUUGUAAAGCUCUUUCAGCAGUGAAGAUAAUGACAUUAACUGCAGAAGAAGCCCCGGCUAACUUCGUGCCAGCAGCCGCGGUAAUACGAAGGGGGCUAGCGUUGUUCGGAAUCACUGGGCGUAAAGCGUACGUAGGCGGACUGAUCAGUCAGGGGUGAAAUCCCGGGGCUCAACCACGGAACUGCCUUUGAUACUGUCAGUCUUGAGAUCGAGAGAGGUGAGUGGAACUCCGAGUGUAGAGGUGAAAUUCGUAGAUAUUCGGAAGAACACCAGUGGCGAAGGCGGCUCACUGGCUCGAUACUGACGCUGAGGUACGAAAGCGUGGGGAGCAAACAGGAUUAAUACCCGGGUAGUCCCCGCCGUAAACAUGAAGGGCAAUUGUCAGGAACUGGCUAUUUGGU